GAUGAACGCUGGCGGCGUGCUUAACACAUGCAAGUCGAACGGAAAGGCUCCUGCUUGCAGGGGUACUCGAGUGGCGAACGGGUGAGUAACACGUGGGUGAUCUGCCCUGCACUUCGGGAUAAGCCUGGGAAACUGGGUCUAAUACCGGAUAGGACGAUGGUUUGGAUGCCAUUGUGGAAAGUUUUUCGGUGUGGGAUGAGCUCGCGGCCUAUCAGCUUGUUGGUGGGGUAAUGGCCUACCAAGGCGUCGACGGGUAGCCGGCCUGAGAGGGUGUACGGCCACAUUGGGACUGAGAUACGGCCCAGACUCCUACGGGAGGCAGAAGUGGGGAAUAUUGCACAAUGGGCGCAAGCCUGAUGCAGCGACGCCGCGUGGGGGAUGACGGCCUUCGGGUUGUAAACUCCUUUCGCUAGGGACGAAGCGUUUUGUGACGGUACCUGGAGAAGAAGCACCGGCUAACUACGUG
rnacentral:rRNA from 1 species